AAAUGAUGAUAUCCCAGCUGGCACCAGUCAUAGGGCGACUUGUACUCCCUCCAUUGAUGACAACCGCUGCGGUCUCUCGACCACUCUCUGAC
rnacentral:snoRNA from 1 species